GCGGGCCAUAGACUACACAACAUUUGUACAAAUGCGAUGAAAUUCGAUGAAAUUUUGUCGCUGUGAGCACGAUUUGCAUAGUGUAUGGCACUGCUUGAAUGAGCGCCCAAACGGUUGGAGUAAAAUCGGUCGGGAUCGAAAUAUUUUGUACAAAACAUUCUCCCAGCCGGGGUGGAGAUGGUUUUUUUUGUUGCUGUUGCUGUUUUCGCCAGCAAUCAUUUGUGUUCGCGUGAAAUAUGUUUGUAUAGUGUAUGGGCGAGCAUAGAUCAAACAAUCGUCGUGGAAUCAUCGAAUUUGUACAGGCCAAUUUGUGUAGUCUAUGGCCCGCUUUAUGUAGAAGCCCAUACCCUCCGGAGCUUGUAACUCAAUCCUGCAAUAGGAAGUUCGCCCUAAGGAAGACAAAUCCCAGCUUUGCUUUAAUAUAUAUCCUUGACGAGGAUGGUGGAGCUUGAUGGGAUCGUUCUGUGAUAAGAUGUUAUCAUACAGUGAAAUACGACCAGAACUGCAAAGUCCUUCUCCGUAGAGAUUAUCUAAAAAGGAAAAUAUAAAUACAUUGGAUUUUAAUCCAUUUAAACUGAAAUAUCCACGAUGACUCACGUAUUUUAUAAUGAUUAUGAUUAUCAUCAAUGGAACAGGAGAUUUCGAGGACCAAAUGCGAAAACGCCAACACGAUCAGGUAAUAAAUGCUGAUCUUUUUGCGUUCGGAAGCCAUCGUUGAAAUUGGGGAUUCAAUUCAACGUAAGGUAAAGGUAGUGUUGAGGCCAACUGUACAUCCGUCGACCCUCCGAUUCGAGCAACGGCUCAGCUAAAAACGAAACUGGCAACUAUGCCAAACCAAGCAGAAUUGGUGAGGGUGCACAAAGAAGAUCUGUCACCGAACGGAAAUCAAAACAGUGAGGAAGUACCAAACGUGGUCGAAACAGCUUAGAGUAAACCGUGGAACUAAAACCCGAUAUCUUUUCCAAUUGUAAGAAUUCAGUUUAAACACUAAAAUCUUUUAAGCUGAUCAAAUCAAGCUAAAAAGGGUGUUUAAUAUUGCGUUCGAAACCCUGUCGCGAAGCUAAUCCGCAACAAACUUAAAAGAUUUUACUUACGAAAAAUCGAAUCUGAUAUCGGAAAGAUGCCACCGAAAGUCGUAAGAACUUUCAGCUGUAGCCUCUGUAAGGAUCCAGACAAUAACCACAUGGUGCAGUGCGACCGGUGCCAAUCUUGGUACCAUUAUCAAUGCGUGGGCGUUGGUGAUUCUGUGGCGGACCGGAGCUGGCUCUGUCCAAGUUGUGACAAACAUAGUACCACUGUGGCACCUGAAACGCUGAGGAAAAAUGAAUCCAAAUCCCAGAGGUCUAAAGCGAGUACGUCGACAUCAGUUAAGGCCGCAAAAGCGGCUCUGGACUUGCAGCAGCUCCAAGAGCAGAAACAACUCGAACUACAACGCAUUCAGGAGGAAACGAUUCAAGCCGAGAAGGAAGUUGCUCUGGCGAAGAGUCGCCUGGAGAGCGAGAAAAAACAACGCGAAAAAGAAGCAGCUCUCGAGAAGAAGCGCCUCGAGGAUGAACGAAAACGCCAAGAAGCUGAAGAGGAAUUUGAGCGGUUGCAGCUCAAAAAGGAGACAAUCCGUCAGGAAGCCUUGAGGAAGCUAGAGGAAAAAUUCCUAGCAGAGAAAUAUCGUAUCCUCAAUGCUCAGCUUGACGAGGACGGUAGCAGUAAAAGCGGGUGCAGCGAGUUCAGCGGAAGGAGAACAAAGCAAUGGGUAGAGGACCUGUUGAAAAACCAUGAAGUUAUUUGUCAUGAUGAGAGACCGAAUGAAGCUGGCCCAAAUCGAAUCAGAGAUCCACUGGAAGAACCGAAACAACCACUCAACUCGACUGAAAUAGUGAAUCCUAAUGGAAAUGCACGAAACCUAGAAAUUCGUGAGCACGCUGACAGAAUUCGUGAAUUUCCCAUUGAAUCCCCAAUUCGAAGUGAUCAUAAUCAGCCCCCGGUUCCCAAAGUAGACGGUAGAUUGGGAACCCAAGAUCACGUUCAGAGAGAAUGCGAAUUUCCGAAUCAACAAAACAUCUCAUCAGGUUGCAACACCCUAACCAGUGGUCAGCUCGCGGCGCGUUCAGUGUUUUCCAAAGAACUGCCAACGUUUACUGGAAACCCCGAAGAGUGGCCGUUAUUUUACAGUAGCUACCUGACUGGAACGAAAGAGUGUGGGCUUACUAACGCGGAAAAUCUUAUUCGUCUUCAGCGUUGCCUCAAAGGCGAAGCUUUAGAAGCCGUACGAAGUUGUUUACUGAUUCCCGAAACGGUUCCUUGUGCUAUGGAAACACUGGAAAUGUGCUACGGAAGACCAGACGUACUGGUAAACACACUUCUAGUCAAGAUCCGAAACACUCCCGCUCCCAAGGAAGGUCGGUUAGAGACCUUGAUUGCUUAUGGGUUGGCUAUCAAAAACUUUUGCAAUCACAUUCUCGCAGCAAAACUAGAAGACCACUUCAAUAACCCCACGUUGCUUCAGGAGUUGGUAGAAAAGCUUCCGAUGGAAACAAAAAUGAAAUGGGCGGACUAUAUGGAACUCACAGGUGAAAGAAGCUUGGGUUGUUUUGGUAGAUUUAUGCACGAGGUUUUACGAAAGGCUAUCACGGUAACCCCCUACAAUCCUCAUACAGUGAACAAGCCAGUGAGAGGGGAGGAGCCAAGACCUAAAGGUGGUGUGAAGUAUAAAGGGUACCUCAAUCAUCACAGCGAAGCUCAAGCACCUGGAGAAGGCAAAGAUGAUCAGCCCCAUAUCAAGAAGGCUUGCAUAGCAUGCGAAAAACCAGGUCACAGAUUGGAGAAUUGCGGUAAGUUCGAAAACUAUUCUAUUGAUGAACGCCGAAAGAUCGUCCGAUUACAUAACCUUUGUUGGAGUUGCCUUAAAAGUCAUGUCCCUUGGCCGUGUCGCCGUCCUAAGGAUUGUUCGUAUGAAGGUUGUCGCUACCGUCACCACCCUUUACUCCACUCACCUCCUUCAGAAGGACGACCGAAUCCCAGCCCCAAUAAUUUCCAUCGAACUGAUAGUACUGCUAUCUAUCGAAUCGUUCCCGUCACUAUACACAACGGAUCACAAUCCAUCCCUACUUUUGCCCUCCUUGACGAAGCCUCCGAAGUCACGAUGAUCGAGCAAGAUCUUGCCGAUAACCUUAAUCUCAAAGGUACCCUAGAACCAUUACACUUGCAAUGGACCGCUAACGUUACUCGCUUCGAAGAAAACUCUCGUUCAAUUGACCUACAGAUUUCCGGGAAGGACAAGAGAAAACGAUACUGUUUGAAAAACGCCAGAACAGUCGAGGUCUUAGAGCUUCCGAUUCAGUCCAUUUGCCAUCAAGAACUUAUUGAAGAGUAUCCGCACCUACGAGGCCUCCCUCUAACCGACUAUGAAUUCGCCCGACCACAACUGCUAAUAGGUCUCGAAAAUAUUCACCUUGCCACGCCUUUGAAAAUCUGUGAAGGAGCACAUGGGCAACCGAUAGCCACAAAGACACGCCUAGGGUGGUGUAUCUACGGAGCAAUUCCAUGUCUAAAAACACGUAAAUCCUAUCAGCAGCUGUUUCAUGGAAACGAACAGACCGAAGAUGAGAAAUUAAAUGAAAUUAUCAAGCAACAUAUUGUUAUAGACAACUUAGGUGUUCGUAGCACAGGAAUAGCACUCGAGUCCAAUGAAGAUAAGCGUGCUCGAGAAAUAUUAGAAUCCACCACACGCCGAAUUCCUGGAGGGUUUGAAACCGGAAUUUUGUGGAAAAGCGACAAUGUUGUCUUUCCGGAUGGGUUUUCUAUGGCUCUUAGUCGGUUAAACAGUUUAGAAAAGAAAAUUUAUAAAAAUCCCGAAUUGGCCAAUCGCGUAAAGCAACACAUUAACGAAUACCUUGAAAAGGGAUACGCUCAUAAAGCCACUUACGAGGAACUGAAUUCUGCGGAUCCGAAACGAGUCUGGUAUUUACCAUUAGGCGUCGUUAUUAGCCCCAAAAAACCAGAAAAACUGCGACUUAUUUGGGAUGCCUCGUCGAAAGUUCGGAACACCUCAUUCAACUCAUUGGUACUAAAAGGGCCGGAUCUACUCACGUCACUUCCUGCAAUUCUCUUCCGAUUUCGGUCUAGAAGGGUGGCAAUAUGUGGCGACUUGAAAGAAAUGUUCCACCAGAUAAAAAUUCGAAGUGAAGAUCUGUCUGCUCAGAGGUUCUUGUGGAGAGAUGAUCCAUCCGCCAAACCGGAAGUCUACACCAUGGACGUUGCAACUUUCGGUUCUGCCUGUUCACCUUGUUCAGCACACUACAUUAAAAACCUCAACGCCAGGGACUAUGAGGAUAAAUACCCUGAAGCAGCAGAGGCCAUAAUCAAUGGUCACUAUGUCGACGACUAUUUAGACAGCAAAGAUACAGAAGAGCAAAUAAUCAGUCUGACCAACGAUAUUCGAUUCGUACAUCGCCAAGGUGGGUUUGAAAUCCGAAAUUUCAGGUCUAAUUCUUCAUACGUUCUUAAAGCCAUCGGCGAGAUCCCCCUUCCGCCUAAAGAGUUGGGCAUAUUUCCGAAAGAAAUAGAAUCUGUACUGGGCAUUCAAUGGUUGCCAGUAAACGAUGUCUUUACCUUUUCCCUGAAUCUUCCGAACUUUGACCGCAAGCUAAUUGAUGGUUCAAUUCGCCCUACAAAACGCCAAAUACUAAGAAUAAUAAUGACCAUCUAUGACCCACUCGGAUUGCUGGCCGCAUUCAUAAUUCAAGGGAAAAUAAUCAUACAAAAACUGUGGAAAACUGGAUGUAACUGGGACGACGAAGUAAACGAUGAAAUAUUCUCGAACUGGAAACGAUGGACGAAUUUGUUCUCUGGAUUGGGUAACAUUCAUAUUCCAAGAUCCUACUUCGGGGCGGCUGUCCCCGAGCUUUGCAAACCAAUCCAACUCCAUGUACUUGUCGACGCCAGCGAAGAGGCAUAUGCUUGUGUCGCUUAUUUUCGCUACACCGACGGAGGCGUAAUUCGAUGUUCCCUAGUGGGUGGGAAAUCUAAGGUCGCUCCUGUUAAAACGCUGUCCAUCCCAAGGCUCGAACUACAGUCAGCAGUGUUGGGAACACGCCUAGCAGAUUUCAUACAAAAAAACCAUCAAAUACCAAUAACUGAACGAUUUUUCUGGACCGACUCAGCGACAGUGCUCCACUGGAUUCAUUCUGAUACACGCAAGUAUCAUUCAUACGUGGCCUGUAGGAUUGGAGAGAUUUUAACAUCAACAAACAUCAUGGAAUGGAAAUGGGUACCUUCUCGCAGCAACGUAGCCGACGAAGCCACCAAAUGGGGUCGGGGACCAUGCUUUGAAGCCGAGAGCAGAUGGUUGCGUGGACCAGAUUUCCUCUGGGGCAGCGAAGAUUCGUGGCCUGAACAAAAAUGGAAUCCAGCAAAUGGGAAUGAAGAAUUGCGCUCAAGUUACUUCCAUGCAAAGAAAGCCGACGAAAAACUAAUUGACGUUCACCGAUUCCACAAGUGGGAGAGAAUGCACCGAACAAUCGCGUAUGCAUUUCGAUUUGGCACUCCGCGAAGUCGCAGCGAAACAUCAAACGAACCGAAGUCUCUAGAACUUCUCGACCAAAAGUAUCUACGCCAAGCUGAAAUGGUAUUACUGCAGAUUAUCCAACAAGAAUCGUUUCCAGAGGAAAUGGUCGCAUUACGGAGAGUCCAAAAUGGAAAGCCUGCGGGGGUGGUGCCGAUCACCAGUCCGCUAUACAAAUUAUCAGCUUACAUCGAUGAAGAGGGAUUGGUCAGAAUGGACGGUCGUAUCGGCGCCGCCCCCAACUUGCCGAUCGAAGCUAAGUGUCCUAUAAUCCUAGCCAAAAACCAUCCUAUAACGUUCCUUCUUGUAGAUUACUAUCACCGCCGCUACUUGCAUCGAAAUGCCGAGACUGUUUUCAACGAGAUCCGCCAGCUUUUCUACAUAACGGGACUUCGGAAGCUGAUACGCACUGUAGGUUCCCGUUGUCAAUGGUGCAAGGUCUACGGCAGUUCCCCGAUGCAACCGAUGAUGGCUCCUUUACCGAAAGCUCGGCUCGUAGCGUUCCAGCGACCUUUCACCUACGUUGGUCUGGAUUACUUUGGCCCAAUCCUGGUUAGGGUUGGACGAUCGCAUGUGAAACGCUGGGUAGCCCUCUUCACAUGUUUUACAACCAGAGCUAUCCACCUUGAAGUCGCCCACAGCCUUUCCGCUGUCUCCUGUAAAUUCUGCAUACGCCGCUUUAUAGCUCGACGUGGGGCUCCAGCCGAAAUAUACACCGAUAAUGGCACAAACUUUAGAGGAGCCGCUAAUGAGCUGCAACGUCAACUUAACAACAUCAACCAAAGAUGCGCGGAGACAUUCACUAACACCAACACCAAAUGGUACUUCAACCCCCCAGCAGCACCUCAUACAGGCGGAGUCUGGGAGCGCCUAGUGCGAUCCGUAAAAACUGCACUAGAAGCCUUUCAUGACAUCCCUAGGGUUCCUGAUGACGAGACUUUUGAAACAAUCAUCUUGGAAGCCGAGAGCAUGAUAAAUAGCCGGCCGUUGACUUACAUACCACUGAACGAUGCGACCGAUGAGGCCUUAACACCAAACCAUUUCCUUCUUGGUAGCUCAACCGGAGUCAAACAACCACCGAAGGAUUCCACCAGUGCCCUUGAGUGUCUACGGAGCAGCUGGAAUCUAGCACAACAUAUCUUAGACGGGUUCUGGAGAAGAUGGUUGAGGGAAUACCUUCCAACCAUCGCCAGGCGCACCAAGUGGUUUAACAAUACGAAACCCAUCGAGGUAGGGGAUCUAGUCUUCGUUGCUGACGGAAAACAACGCAACAGCUGGGUCCGAGGAAAAAUUAUCGAGGUCACUCUUGGUAGAGACAAGGUUGCCAGACAAGCGGUGGUUCAAACCAAUGCUGGAAAAAUGCGUCGAGCUGUGGGGAAUCUGGCCGUGAUCGACGUCGUGGACGAGUGUAAGGACGAGAUUGCUGAAGGGACAACAUCGUCUUACGGGGGGGAGAUUGUUGAGGCCAACUGUACAUCCGUCGACCCUCCGAUUCGAGCAACGGCUCAGCUAAAAACGAAACUGGCAACUAUGCCAAACCAAGCAGAAUUGGUGAGGGUGCACAAAGAAGAUCUGUCACCGAACGGAAAUCAAAACAGUGAGGAAGUACCAAACGUGGUCGAAACAGCUUAGAGUAAACCGUGGAACUAAAACCCGAUAUCUUUUCCAAUUGUAAGAAUUCAGUUUAAACACUAAAAUCUUUUAAGCUGAUCAAAUCAAGCUAAAAAGGGUGUUUAAUAUUGCGUUCGAAACCCUGUCGCGAAGCUAAUCCGCAACAGGUAGGAAUUGAUUUAUGCUGAUGCAUAUUUAACAAAAUUUCUCUGCUUGACUUGAGUGA